AAGGCUACCUCUUAGCAGAGGACCCCUUAGUGCCCGGCGCCUUUGGUUCUGCCAAGAGGGAACAGGAAGAACAAGAGAAGAAGUCUCCACCGGAGAUAUUUCCCCUCCCCCUCAAGACCUCGUGUUCUCCUCGAAGCUCUAGCAUGGAGAUCUGUCUCUCCAGACCUUUGCCUGGAAUAUUCUGUCCCCUCUGGUCCAGGAGGGAAAUUCCUGUGUGUUCUUGGAGACCGAGGCCAUGACAGGGCUUCCAACGACAAGCUUUGUAGUGACAUUUAAGACAGCCUCCGUGGCCACGCUGGAAUGUGAGUUAUCAGUGUUCCACUUAUGCCCCCCUGGCUGGCACGUCCCGAGACAAGGCCUGUGUCCUCACGAGGGCGGAGUGGAGCCUGGACCCUAACUCGGCACCUCCACGCCUUACCUGCUCUAGCUCCUCGGCUAGAAAGCCGAUCCCGUAGAGUCGGCAGAGAAUUAAGUAAGAAAACACAAGCAAAGCACUUUAAAAUGGCAUGGACACACUGUAAGAGUGCAAAAAACAUGAGCUGGUCUUCUGUGCAUCUGUCCCCUUGUACCUAGCGUAGGGCCCAGAACGAUGUAGGAGUUUGAGUGAAUGAACAAAGGAGGUUGGUGAUCUUCAAGGUCUGGAAUCAGCCUGCAAGUGUUUUCCUUCCGGACCUCACAGAACAGUAAGUAUUUGUGACUGUAUCUGAGGCUUCCACCUUCACCACCGGCCGCCCUGGGAGUAGUGGGCACCCAACAGAGUCCUCAAGGCCAUUUGCUUGAGCCCUGAGGUUGCUGGGGUGUAGGACCUGGGAGCAGAAGCUGACAGACAUGGUCAACCUGACCGGCCAAGAGAAGGAACCUUCUGGCCCCUCAUUGUGCAGAGCCCCAGAGAUGGGCCCCAUGGUCUCUGGCCUCAGCCCCACAUCUGUGAUGUUUUGGGCCUCACUGGUGGCCCCGGGCCGCUCAGGCAGAGACACGCAAGCGAUGGCAUGUGGAGAAGUCCCCCAGAUUGUUUUCCAGGCACUGGUAUUACAGUCGGACAAAGAUGUGAAAAAUCACAGCCUGUAGGCCAACCCCUGAGUCCUGGCGAUGCCCAGAAGGAAAGCUAAGUGGAAGAUGACUCAGGAAGAGCCGGGCAGCAGCCCUGUCAUCUGGGACCUGAGCCCCUCGAAGGUGUGAGCCAUGAGCAGCCACCCGGGGGCACACAGGCACUGCGGCGAAGCCCGUGAGGACCCUGGAAAUGAUGCGAGAGCCUGCAGGUCCGAGGCUUGAGUAAUGACAGGGGCCGGGCCUUUGCGUGGUUUGCAGUUAUGAAAUAUUUGAUUCAUGCAGCCCAUGUAAUCAAGGGGCACCUCGGUAGUAAAGUUAUAAAAUGAAUACCAGGACACCUACUGACUCUCCCAGAGUUAACCACCAUCUUGGUCCUUGCAUUUAUCACACCCUGGCUUUGUUUUGUAAGUAGCCUUCACUAUCCCUUGUACCAUGAACAUUCCGUGUAACCCAGAACAUGACAUUGUUUGGUUUCA